rnacentral:lncRNA from 1 species
GUUUAUACACUUAAUUAAAAUUAAGAUAUAUUGUGUAUAUUAAAUUCAUGAUAUAUCUUGUGAAUAAGAAGUUUCUAUUAUUUGUAUUUACUCUCCCAUGCAAUUUUCUCGCUUACUCUUUCUCUCGUGUUGAGAAAUGGAGAAGGAGAUGAUUAGGGCUGGUGGGUCGGAGUCCGAGUCUCAAAGAGCACCACUAAGAAGGAGAGGUGAGGAGCGGUUUUUACCACCUGCAAGAGGAAGCAUCAAACGCAAGAUUCUGGGCCUUCUUUACAAAAUUUUCAAGCGUCAAACUCAACGUGGCUUUCAUUACCUUCUUAGCUACUGCAGUCACAGUUCUACUACGUAAGAGGAUAUUAAUUCUCUAUUAACGUACAUAUUUCUUGCAGCUGCAUGCCUCUUUAUCAAUUUGGACUUUAAUUUUCUUAAUCUCCAAUGCAAUUUAUAAUGAGUAGAUGUGAAAAGUGUCAUUUCAUUUUUUUUUUUAGUUUAUUUUUUAGUAUAUAUCAUUCAAUACUAUAAAUUCACUUAUUCUACUGAUUUAGAUUCAUACCGAGCACAGCGUUUUCUCAAAAAAAAAAAAAAAAAAAAAAAACCAAGGAAUAAGAGUUGACUCUAGCACAGCAAAUGAGACAAUCACAUGUUAAAUAUAUUCACUAGAAUAAAUUCAAUAAGCAGUUCAUCUCAACAUAAACUUCUGCCACACAGCAUUUACAAUACACAAGCCAUAAUUGAAAGCUCACAUUUAUUAACUGGCAAUAAAUCUCAGUCUCAUGCAAAACCUGUGGUCUAGGAGUAUCCAAAAGCUGUACCAACACAGACGAACUUUACUGACUAAAAGGAUCUAUUGGGUUUGGAUGACGAAGAUG